CAUCACUGCAACGAGCUACAAAGAAUCAUUUGUCUCGACUGCCUGGGCCAGGCUCGCUUCUGCUGCAGCUCACAGACGGCACAGUUAUCCAGGAGACUGGAAGAAUGCAGUCAAGAAUAAUGCAAAAAUGGAGGGACAAACUGUUCUACAACUUUAGGAGGGGCACAAGCCCAGCACAGUCUCAGUUUUCAGAGGACUACAGCUCCCAUGAUCCCCAAGAAGAAAUGAACCUGAGCUUUGACAGCAACGCACUUUGGGAAAAGGAGGAGGUGUCGGUGAUGAUCUAACCAGCACCUGACUCGCCAGCCAUUUGUCCUUGGAGGGCUGGGUAGGGACGAGUGCGGCUGCAUCGUGUGAUGGGGAGUGGCUGUCACCCUGGCGAAUCCCUUCGGAGGAUUACCCAAAAGUCUCCAUAAUUUUCCUUUCAGCCUUGAACCACCCCCUCCAUCCAAUGAACGAUGAACAAACUUGAAAGGCACCGUCUGUUGAGAUGAUGUGCAGAGCGGAGAAGAGCUAAGCUCUACACUACCAAGGAAACCUGAGGAAUGAUCCCUCUGAUGCACUUUCUGAUGUUUAUUGUGUAUUCUGUCUUCCCUGUGUAUCUCCAUACAAUGAAUUUGUAUUGUAAUGCAGGAAGGUCCUUCCCCCACAAAUGAGAACGGUAUAGCCAAAACAGCUAGCAUUGGAUAUUUAAAAAGAUUCACCCCAAAGUUUAAAUUGUUGGUCUGACUUCUGCUGUGGCUGAUUGCACUAAUCCUCAGGAACAGACAGUACCUUUCUGUAAACUAGUAAUAGUAAAAAAGUCUUACUAGCCCAGGCUAGCUACUGAAAAUGCACUGCACCUUUUUGGUCUGUUUAUAAUGUACCGUGGCUAUCCAAUAGCUCUUGCGGUUUAAUUCGGGGACAAUAGCAGUCUUUGUUCUGGUUUUGGAUUUGUGCUUGAUUUUGCACUGAUAUGGAUA